AGAGAGUCAACCCUGAGGAGCAGCAGGACAGAAAGCACGGGUCCACCCGCUCCGAAAAAUCACACGCAGCAGCACCUUGAGAACGCCAGAGGAAAACCAACCAAGAGACCUAGAAUAGUCCAGACGGAGGCAAACCCAAUGGCUUCCAUCUGUCUACUCUACCAUAAAGGCCUGAUUGGUGGAGUGAUGCACUGAUGUUUGUCCGUCUUUACGCUUCUCUCAUCCUCUCAAAGGAAGUGGGUCCUUGGUUACCUGUCUGACCAAGGCCCUUCGUCCCCGGAUUACUCUGUUUGGCUGAGCAGACAGAUCUAGGAAGACUGUUGGUUGUUCCAAACUUUUCCAUUUGAGAAUGAUAGAGGCUACUGUGCUCUUGGGCACUUUCAAUGCUGCAGAAAUUUUCUUGUAUCUUUCCCCAGAUCUGUGUCUUCACACAACCCUGUCUCGCAGGUCUACGGACAAUUCUCUCAACCUCGUGGCUUGGUUUCACUCUAACAUACACCAUUAACUGUAAGACCUUAAAUAAAGACAUGUGUGCCUUUCCUAAUAAUGUCCAGUGAAUUAAUUUAGGCACAGGUGGACUCCAAUCAAGUUGUAGAAGCAUCUCAAGGACCAUUGCUAGAAGUAGGAUGCACCAGAGCUCAAUUACAAGUGUCAUAACAAAGGCUCUGAAUACAUAUGUAAAUGGAAUAAUCAUUUUAAAUGGAAUAUUUCUUUUAAAUGGAUUAAUAUGUCUUUUAUGUUUUAUACAUUUACAAAACAUUCCAAACAACUGUUUUUGUGUGGAGUGUUGAAUUGUGUGUAGAUUGAUGAGAAAAAAUAAAUAAUUGAAUCCAUUUUAAGAUGAGUCUGAAACAUAACAAAAUGUGGAAUAAGUGAAGCGCUGUGAAUACUUUCUGUGUGCACAACACUGUAUGUAUUUGUACAUGCAGUGCCAGGAUGGACUUUCUAUGUUUUGAGUCUACCUGCUCACUUACAGUUGUUUUCGCAAGUCUGGAAGUGUGAAAUUUCCCUCAUCCUCACUCACCUCACACUCGACAGUCUAUCAGGAGGAUUCAGGCUCUCUCUCUGUCUCUCUCUUUCUCUCUCUCGUUUGCUGCCACCGUCUCUGUCUCUUUGCCAUUGUUGCUCUGGGCUCUUCCACGCUUUCCAAGUUAUUUGGUUUGUGGUCCCUCAGUCAUUUGACUUAUCUCUCACAUUUGAACCAUACCUCUAUUCAGCCCCCACCCCACCCCUA